AUCACUUCUGGGCUUUUUUUUUUUGGCUAAGAUCAAAUGUAGUAUCUGUUCUUAUCAGUUUAAUAUCUAAUACAUGCUUGAGAGCCGCUGUGGUGUAGUGGUUAAAAUGCUGGACUGAGAAUUGGGAGAUCCAGGUUCUAGUCCCCAUUUGGCCAUGAAGUUCACUGGGGGACUUUGGGCCAAUCACU